rnacentral:rRNA from 1 species
UACGAAGGGGGCUAGCGUUGCUCGGAAUUACUGGGCGUAAAGCGCACGUAGGCGGUCUUUUAAGUCGGGGGUGAAAUCCUGGAGCUCAACUCCAGAACUGCCUUCGAUACUGGAAGACUCGAGUCCGGGAGAGGUGAGUGGAACUGCGAGUGUAGAGGUGGAAUUCGUAGAUAUUCGCAAGAACACCAGUGGCGAAGGCGGCUCACUGGCCCGGUACUGACGCUGAGGUGCGAAAGCGUGGGGAGCAAACAGG